ACUGGAGUUUGAUCCUGGCUCAGAUUGAACGCUGGCGGCAUGCUUUACACAUGCAAGUCGAACGGUAACAGGCCGCAAGGUGCUGACGAGUGGCGAACGGGUUGAGUAAUGCAUCGGAACGUGCCCGAUCGUGGGGAUAACGCAGCGAAAGCUGCGCUAAUACCGCAUACGAUCUGAGGAUGAAACGCGGGGGACCUUGUAGCAAUACGGGGCCUCGCGCGAUCGGAGCGGCCGAUGUC
rnacentral:rRNA from 1 species